rnacentral:tRNA from 1 species
UGAUUUAGUGGUAGAAUUCUCACCUUCCAUGCGAGAGACCUGGGUUCAAUUCCUGG